AGUAUUAUUGUCAGUGUAAUUGUUAUUGUUAGUGAUAUAAGCGACUUACAAAGAUUGCUCAAAAAUAUUCGAUUUUCGAUUUGCAAAAUGGCAAAGUUUAGGUCCUUGAAGAGAAAAAAGAGAGUUGGGAAGUUUAGAGACGUAUGUCUUCAGCCCGGUUACAUUUGGGGGCUCAGCCGGGAAAGACAGUGGUAGCCACGUCAGCUCGAAUUGAAGAAUGAAUAUGAGUAGUUCUGGAGUAGUGAGGCGACCCAUCGAUUCGAAACGUAGAUAGAAACCGUAAAGCAUCAUCAUCAUCAUCAUGGCGCGGGAGGAUCUACUUGUGGAUGUCCGACAGUUAUUGUACGGCCUGGCCGAGGACGAGGUGGCGGCCUUGGCUGUAGGGAUAGACAAAAAAGUAGCAGGACACUCCGCCCGGGAGACGAUGAGUUUUGUUGAAAAGCGAAUCAUGUUGUCGGUGAAGGACGCUGAUGAGGGUAUAAAGUUCCUCCAGACCCUUUCAAAACGUCUCACCAGCACGGCAGUUGGAAAGCCGGGUAAAGCCGCUGUGAAACCAUCGCCAGCCUGGCAUAAGGACUUUUAAAUUAGCGGCCAGAUCGGCGACUGCAAUGCGUCCCUUGGCUAUGUCGUUUCUCAGGCAAGUGAAUGCGGGGCAAGCCAAGGGUUAUUCCGAAACAGAACUGGUGGACGGGGUUAUUCGUGCCAUUGCCCCUGCUUCGAGGUUACGAGGCUAUUUAGAGGGGAGUGACAAGACGCUGACGCUGGCUAGGACUCAAUAGGUAGUUCGAACAUUUUAUCGAGAACCCUCAGCCACAGAGCUGUUCCAGGAAAUGUGCCCUUUCCCAGGUAGGCAAGGAAACUGCUCAAGACUUCUUGUUCCGUGCCCUGGAAUUGCGGCAGAAAAUAUUCUUUGCUGAUAGAGAAAACACAACUAAGUACAACCAGGCUCUCGUACGUGAAUAGUUCAAUCAGUCGAUUGCCACAGGGAUACGGGACGACCGCUUGAGGGUAGAACUGAUUUCGAUUCUUAAAUCGUACACUACUGAUGAGGACCUGCUGCAGUCCCUGAAUGAAAUAACAAGGAGAUUGGAUGCCCGACAGAAAAACCUGUGCACAAGCGGAAGGAUACUAACAAGGACAUUCCUAUGGGAGUGACCUCGGCCAAAGUGGCAGAACUAUCUGCACUCAUGAGAAACCAGGAAGAAGGGUGUGUUCGUGAGAAACUGGGUAGAAAACGUGUGGUUUGGAUCCCAGGAUAACCAAAUUUUGCGCUGUUUUGUGCGUCCCGGUGCGGUCAGUGGGGGUGAGGUUGCAAUAUUUUCGCCCAUAGACAACUCUAUCUAUCUAUCUAUGUAUCAAAUUUAUAUAGCGCCCUUAUCAGUCCUAUAUUGGGCCGUUCAAAGGCGCUGACAAAAACAGAGUCUCUAUAAGAAGUACAGUGGAACCCCGGUAACACGACCACUCAUGGGACCGUGGUCGGAGUGGUCGUGUUACCGGGGUGGUCGUGUUAGCGAGGUUGGGAAUCCCCAGACGAAAUACAUGAUUAUUUUUCCCGCCAAAAUUGCCGACUGCACGGCGUGUGUACGCUGUUCUACCAUAGCAACGCUGCCUGAUUGAGAUGAUGCACGCUCCAAAGUUUUGUUAUCAUGCCUCGCAAGAACAGUUCGUCGAUAAAAUUACAUGUUACAUUCUCAGAAUGAGUAAGAAAAGGUAAUUUUGUAACUCAUUUUAUCCACAAAGUUUCAUUAUCUGCCCGACGUGACGCAUUUGCGGGCAAUUAGGUGAAUCAUCCUCCAUGUACCCGACUGUUUGUGACGAUUGAAGUAAACUUGUCGUAUGAUUCCACGUGAAUGAUGAGUUGAGUAAUGCUACAGUUUUAAUCAAAUCUAUUUUCAGUCAAAAUAUUUAAAGAAAUAUAAAAUGAUACUGUAGUAAAUCAACCAAGUUCUCCAUAUCAUAAAACAUUCAAACGUCUCGCAAGCUUGUUAUUGUCAUAAGUGUGGUCUUCAAACUACCCACCGUUUUUUAUAAGUUCAUAUGCAAAUCACGCAAAUCACAUGAUUUUGCUGCUGCUGAGUGCGCAUGUCUGGUACUGAACUGGCUCAGUAGUGAAAACAAACCAUGAAAACGUUAGAAAAGGAAAGUUUAUUUAUUCAUUUACACUUAUACAAUUGAUCAUACCUGCAAAAUCACAUUGUAUUUUUUGUUUUCAUAUGUAUUCCCAUGGCCAUUGUCCCCUCUCAACAAAGCUUGGCAGCGAGGUGCUAAUUACUAUGCCGCGGUCGCGACCGAUUACGGCAAUUAGGCCUGGUGGUUGGGUUAGCGGUGUUGGUGCCGAUUAGCGGCAAAGUUAAGAAAUACUAGAAAUAUUCACUUUAGUUUUUUACCACCCCAGUUGGUAACCGCGCUGGUCAGUUUCAGUAGCAACUCAACCUAAUUAGCAUAUUGCGUGGGUUUUUUCCCCGGCAACUAGGUCAUCGCCUACGUCAUCCGAGAGGAAUGUUGUAUGACGUCAAUUCAAUUAUUGUUUAUGCAUUCUUGGCGUUGGUCUGGGGGUAUAUAACGUGGGUCCUCUGAGCAUUUGGCAGAACCAACCAAGGGAGCUUUCCUGAUUGCUGAAGGAAGCAACAAAGUUAAAUAGCAAGCCAGCUAGCGCUAGCAAGCGUCGUACUAACAGUAACCGGUGAAACUUCUGCCCGAAGUUCAGAGCCCGAGUAUAUUCCAACUGACCAAGCCAAGUCCAAGUCCUCAAGCCUAUUGUCCCCAUUGAAACCCUGGUUCAGGAGAUUUCUGGCGAGAUAGAUCCUCUGCCGACAAAGAUUGGUGUAUGUCCGUGCUGUUUGCAGUUUGAAUAUACAAGUUUAAAGACGUCAAAGUUAUCUUACUUUCUUGCAAAGAUUAUUCUCAGUAGCAGCAUCGGGGAGCUGACCCAGGCGUCAAUUGUGAGAUUGGCACCGCAACACGAUUUAACUUUGGUCCUCACCAAGAAUAAUCCAUAAUGGAAGGGCAAUAUCUGCGAGAAAUUGCCAGCAAAGAACUGCCGCCAUCCAGGCCAGAAUCUCAUAAGAGUGUACAGAGCGAGCACAGUGUACAUGAAGCAGAAACUGGGUCAACAGCUGAUCGACUACGGAGGCCCGUGAGGCACACCGUCGCUUCAAAGAUGCUCGAUCCCGAUGAGUUGGCAGCAGAACAACUCGUGCAAAUGGCAAGAAGCCGAGGGGGUUAUGCCGCACAAGUGACAAUGAGGCCCAGGCAGUUCAACGAAGCCUUUGAGCAAGGGCUGCACACCUCACUCCUACAGCAGCCGCUGGGUGAUCUCGAAAACGCCUUUGAAAAGUUCAGAGACAUCCAUGACAACUAUGUCAGAUUGGCCGCUGCUGUAAACCCGGCCCGAGCUGUUGAAUGUCGGGAGCAUUUCCAGAAUAUGCUCGGGCUUAUCCAAAGCGUCCGCUUUAAGUUUGAUCAACGGAUGAGGCAGGAAGACCUAAACAACAAGCUGAGUCCAUCGGAUAGUGUCUCCCAACAAGGCAGCAGCUCAUCAAAGGCAAGCAGGGUGUCUAGUUACCUAGCGAUCGCUUCAGCCAA